AGAAUCAACGCUGGCGGCGUGCCUCAGACAUGCAAGUCGAACGAUUAAAGCUCUCUUCGGAGAGUGCAUAGAGUGGCGCACGGGUGAGUAACACGUAAGUAAUCUACCUUCGAGUGGGGAAUAACAUCGGGAAACCGAUGCUAAUACCGCAUAAUGCAGCGGCAUCGCAAGAUGACAGUUGUUAAAGAUUUAUCGCUUGAAGAGGAGCUUGCGGCAGAUUAGCUAGUUGGUAAGGUAAUGGCUUACCAAGGCUACGAUCUGUAACCGGUCUAAGAGGACGGUCGGUCACACUGACACUGAAUAACGGGUCAGACUCCUACGGGAGGCAGCAGUCGGAAUUUUGGGCAAUGGGCGAAAGCCUGACCCAGCAACGCCGCGUGAAGGAUGAAGUAUUUCGGUAUAGUAAACUUACGAAAGAAUAGGAAGAAUAAAAUGACGUAACC
rnacentral:rRNA from 1 species